UGGGGAAUAUUGCACAAUGGGCGCAAGCCUGAUGCAGCCAUGCCGCGUGUAUGAAGAAGGCCUUCGGGUUGUAAAGUACUUUCAGCGGGGAGGAAGGGAGUAAAGUUAAUACCUUUGCUCAUUGACGUUACCCGCAGAAGAAGCACCGGCUAACUCCGUGCCAGCAGCCGCGGUAAUACGGAGGGUGCAAGCGUUAAUCGGAAUUACUGGGCGAAAAGCGCACGCAGGCGGUUUGUUAAGUCAGAUGUGAAAUCCCCGGGCUCAACCUGGGAACUGCAUCUGAUACUGGCAAGCUUGAGUCUCGUAGAGGGGGGUAGAAUUCCAGGUGUAGCGGUGAAAUGCGUAGAGAUCUGGAGGAAUACCGGUGGCGAAGGCGGCCCCCUGGACGAAGACUGACGCUCAGGUGCGAAAGCGUGGGGAGCAAACAGG
rnacentral:rRNA from 1 species